AUUGAACGCUGGCGGCAUGCCUUACACAUGCAAGUCGAACGGCAGCACGGGUGCUUGCACCUGGUGGCGAGUGGCGAACGGGUGAGUAAUACAUCGGAACAUGUCCUGUAGUGGGGGAUAGCCCGGCGAAAGCCGGAUUAAUACCGCAUACGAUCUACGGAUGAAAGCGGGGGACCUUCGGGCCUCGCGCUAUAGGGUUGGCCGAUGGCUGAUUAGCUAGUUGGUGGGGUAAAGGCCUACCAAGGCGACGAUCAGUAGCUGGUCUGAGAGGACGACCAGCCACACUGGGACUGAGACACGGCCCAGACUCCUACGGGAGGCAGCAGUGGGGAAUUUUGGACAAUGGGCGAAAGCCUGAUCCAGCAAUGCCGCGUGUGUGAAGAAGGCCUUCGGGUUGUAAAGCACUUUUGUCCGGAAAGAAAUCCUUGGCCCUAAUACGGUCGGGGGAUGACGGUACCGUAAGAAUAAGCACCGGCUAACUACGUG
rnacentral:rRNA from 1 species